CUGAAUUGAAUUUUCAUAAUCUAGAAAAUAUUAAACUGCAGGAAAGUUUUCCUUGUUCAGUCCAAGAGAGUUUUGGCUGAGGGUGUUGCCUAUGAAUAUUUUCCUUUAAGAGUUUUGUUCUUUCUCUUGGGGCAAUUCUGUUAUUGUAGUUUAGAUUAGCUAUUAACUUAUUUCAAUUUAGCUUAGAAGGAAAGAACAGUGCCCCCAUGGCAGUUUGCUUGGGUUGAACUGCUGCCCCUGCGUAUCUGAGCACCACAGGGCUUUUUCCACAUUAAAAUGGAAGAUCUGUCUGCAGUGAUGUGAGCACAGCAGACAGGAGCAGAUACCUCUGUGGUCUACAACAAGCAGGAAGUUUCGAAAUAAGGUCUCACCUGCAGACUUGUGAAGCCAGCAGAAAUGCACUGCAGGAAGGAUUCCAGUUUUAGAGUGCCUGAACCACCAGUGGAUGUUCCAGAGAAGCUCUUUGUCCUGAGUGCAGCAGUGAGCAGAGAGGGACUGAGUCAUGUGGACCAUGGGCAGGCUCCUGGGACCUGCUUGAAUCCUGAGCAUGGCAACCCUUUGAAACAAGGUAAGAUCCACGUCUAGGAAAACACUAAUUGCAAUCAAACUUUCAAGGGGCUCCUGGGUAGACUGAUAAUAUCACUGAAGCACUUGAAACCAGGCCAGCCACUUGCAAUAGCUGUAUUUCAAGUGCUAAGAGGAAGAAAUAGUAGUUAAUUAUAUUCUAAUGCAUAAUGUGUGGGAAAGGAAAAGGAAAGGAAAGAGGGAAGGGAAGGUGUGGGAAGGGAAG
rnacentral:lncRNA from 1 species